GAUGAACGCUGGCGGCGUGCCUAAUACAUGCAAGUCGAGCGAACAGACGAGGAGCUUGCUCCUCUGACAUUAGCGGCGGACGGGUGAGUAACACGUGGAUAACCUACCUAUAAGACUGGGAUAACUUCGGGAAACCGGAGCUAAUUCCGGAUAAUAUAUUGAACCGCAUUGUUCAAUAGUGAAAGACGGUUUUGCUGUCACUUAUAGAUGGAUCCGCGCCGCAUUAGCUAGUUGGUAAGGUAACGGCUUACCAAGGCGACGAUGCGUAGCCGACCUGAGAGGGUGAUCGGCCACACUGGAACUGAGACACGGUCCAGACUCCUACGGGAGGCAGCAGUAGGGAAUCUUCCGCAAUGGGCGAAAGCCUGACGGAGCAACGCCGCGUGAGUGAUGAAGGUCUUCGGAUCGUAAAACUCUGUUAUUAAGGAAGAACAAAUGUGUAAGUAACUAUGCACGGCUUGACGGUACCUAAUCAGAAAGCCACGGCUAACUACGUG
rnacentral:rRNA from 1 species